UACGUAGGGUGCAAGCGUUGUCCGGAAUUAUUGGGCGUAAAGAGCUCGUAGGCGGUUUGUCGCGUCUGCUGUGAAAACGCGAGGCUCAACCUCGCGCCUGCAGUGGGUACGGGCAGACUAGAGUGCGGUAGGGGAGAGUGGAAUUCCUGGUGUAGCGGUGAAAUGCGCAGAUAUCAGGAGGAACACCCGUAGCGAAGGCGGCACUCUGGGCCGAUACUGACACUGAGGAGCGAAAGCGUGGGGAGCGAACAGG
rnacentral:rRNA from 1 species